AAGUGUAACAACUUGGUGAUGGUGUAGUUCAUAAUUCUUCUUCUUAUCCAUCGAUCCACCACAAAUCAUCACCAAAACCACUGGUUUUCUUGGCGGAUUUAGUGCUUUGAGUGGUUCAAGAUCCGAUGGUGGUUCCCAGAUCCGGCGGUGGUCAACGAAUCCGAUGUUGAAGAUGUUGUUUCAGAUGUUGAAGAUGACCCCAAAGAUGUUCGAUGUUUAAACAUGAUGUUCCAGAUCUAGAAGAUCCUCCAGAUGGAGCUUUGUUUACAAAUCUACACUUUGAAGAUUAUGUUUCAGAUGUUUGAAGAUGAUGUUUCAGAUGUUGAAGAUGAUUCAAAAGAUGUUUGAUGUUGAACAUAGUUACAUUUUUUUGUGUUACAGAAAUAAUGUCCGUUACAGAAAAUAAAGUGCAUUUGAUCAUGUAAAAUUAUAUGUUACGUUUCUGUGUAAUAUUUUAUGUUAUAGAAAUAAAGUGUGUUAU
rnacentral:lncRNA from 1 species